ACUUUCUUAUCAUUUGUAUUUUCACUGGAGUAGGACUUUUAAUUUCCUUUGAGAACUUUUCCUUUGUAUUCACAACUUUGCUGUUUGGCACAAGAGGCCUCACUUUCAGCCUCUCUCGACUUUUGCAAUGCCUUCCUCACUAAACUUAAUCAUUUCUAGCUUUUGCUUUAAAGUGAGAUACAUGAGGCUGCCUUUCACUUGAACACUUAGAGGGCACUGUAGGUUUAUUAAUUGGCCUAAUUUCAAUGUUGUUAUGUCUCAGGGAAUAGGGAAGCCCAAAGAGAGGG